UAAAAAGCUCGUAGUUGGAUCUGUGUUUCGGACGGUCGGUUCGCCGCUCGCGGCGUUCAACUGGCCGGUCCGUACGUCCUGCCGGUGGGCGGGGCUGGGGCGCGAGCCUCGGCCCCUGCCCGACAAAAUCCCUCCGCUGCUGCUCUUCACCGGGUGGUGCGGCGGGCCGGCACGUUUACUUUGAACAAAUCCGAGUGCUCAAAGCAGGCUGCUUGUCGCCUGAAGGUUGUGUGCAUGGAAUAAUGGAAUAGGACCUCUGUUCUAUUUUGUUGGCUUUUCUGAACCAGAGGUAAUGAUUAAUAGGGACAGACGGGGGCAUUCGUAUUGCGGCGUUAGAGGUGAAAUUCUUGGAUCGUCGCAAGACGUACCGAUGCGAAAGCGUUUGCCAAGAAUGUUUUCGCUAAUCAAGAACGAAAGUUAGAGGUUCGAAGGCGAUCAGAUACCGCCCUAGUUCUAACCAUAAACGAUGCCAGCCAGCGAUGCGCCGACGUUCCUCCGAUGACUCGGCGCGCAGCUUCCCGGGAAACCAAAGCUUUUGGGUUCCGGGG
rnacentral:rRNA from 1 species